CUAUAGUCACCUUGCAGCGGCAAAUUCCGUUGCCGGGUUUGAGACCCCGUAUA
rnacentral:ncRNA from 1 species